CAGUAGCCGCGGGAAUACAGAGGGUGCGAGCGUUAAUCGGAUUUACUGGGCGUAAAGCGUGCGUAGGCGGCUUCUUAAGUCGGAUGUGAAAUCCCUGAGCUUAACUUAGGAAUUGCAUUCGAUACUGGGAAGCUAGAGUAUGGGAGAGGAUGGUAGAAUUCCAGGUGUAGCGGUGAAAUGCGUAGAGAUCUGGAGGAAUACCGAUGGCGAAGGCAGCCAUCUGGCCUAAUACUUACGCUGAUGUACGAAAGCAUGGGGAGCAAACAGGAUUAGAUACCCCAGUAGUCCCUGUCUCUUAUAC
rnacentral:rRNA from 1 species